rnacentral:rRNA from 1 species
UACGGAGGAUGCGAGCGUUAUCCGGAAUCAUUGGGUUUAAAGGUCGUAGGCGGUUGUGUAAGUCAGUGGUGAAAUCUUUCAGCUCAACUGAAAAAUAGGACCAUUGAAACUGCAUAACUUGAGUUAUUGUGAAGUAAGUAGAAUGUGUAGUGUAGCGGUGAAAUGCUUAGAGAUUACACAGAAUACCGAUUGCGAAGGCAGCUUACUAACGAUACACUGACGCUGAGGGACGAAAGCGUGGGAGCGAACAGGAUUAGAUACCCGCGUAGU